rnacentral:sRNA from 1 species
UGCAUGGUGUUAUGAGCAGACCGCG